UAGGGAAUCUUCCGCAAUGGGCGAAAGCUUGACGGAGCAACGCCGCGUGAGUGAUGAAGGUCUUCGGAUCGUAAAACUCUGUUAUUAGGGAAGAACAAAUGUGUAAGUAACUAUGCACGUCUUGACGGUACCUAAUCAGAAAGCCACGGCUAACUACGUGCCAGCAGCCGCGGUAAUACGUAGGUGGCAAGCGUUAUCCGGAGUUAUUGGGCGUAAAGCGCGCGUAGGCGGUUUUUUAAGUCUGAUGUGAAAGACCACGGCUCAACCGUGGAGGGUCAUUGGAAACUGGAAAACUUGAGUGCAGAAGAGGAAAGUGGAAUUCCAUGUGUAGCGGUGAAAUGCGCAGAGAUAUGGAGGAACACCAGUGGCGAAGGCGACUUUCUGGUCUGUAACUGACGCUGAUGUGCGAAAGCGUGGGGAUCAAACAGG
rnacentral:rRNA from 1 species